rnacentral:rRNA from 1 species
AGAGUUUGAUCCUGGCUCAGGAUGAACGCUAGCUACAGGCUUAACACAUGCAAGUCGAGGGGCAGCGGGUUGAAAGCUUGCUUUCAAUGCCGGCGACCGGCGCACGGGUGCGUAACGCGUAUCAAACCUGCCUCAUACUCGGGGAUAGCCUUGCGAAAGUAAGAUUAAUACCCGAUGUUGUUGCUUUCUCGCAUGGGAGAGUAACCAAAGAUUUAUCGGUAUGAGAUGGUGAUGCGUCCGAUUAGGUAGUAGGCGGGGUAACGGCCCACCUAGCCUUCGAUCGGUAGGGGUUCUGAGAGGAAGGUCCCCCACACUGGAACUGAGACACGGUCCAGACUCCUACGGGAGGCAGCAGUGAGGAAUAUUGGUCAAUGGGCGAGAGCCUGAACCAGCCAAGUAGCGUGCAGGAUGACGGCCCUAUGGGUUGUAAACUGCUUUUGUAUGGGGAUAAAGUCAAUCACGUGUGAUUGUUUGCAGGUACCAUACGAAUAAGGACCGGCUAAUUCCGUGCCAGCAGCCGCGGUAAUACGGAAGGUCCAGGCGUUAUCCGGAUUUAUUGGGUUUAAAGGGAGCGUAGGCGGAUUGUUAAGUCAGCGGUUAAAGGGUGUGGCUCAACCAUGCAUUGCCGUUGAAACUGGCGAUCUUGAGUGCAGACAGGGAUGCCGGAAUUCGUGGUGUAGCGGUGAAAUGCUUAGAUAUCACGAAGAACUCCGAUCGCGAAGGCAGGUGUCCGGGCUGCAACUGACGCUGAGGCUCGAAAGUGUGGGUAUCAAACAGGAUUAGAUACCCUGGUAGUCCACACAGUAAACGAUGUAUACUCGCGGUUUGCGAUAGACAGUAAGCCGCCAAGCGAAAGCAUUAAGUAUACCACCUGGGGAGUACGCCGGCAACGGUGAAACUCAAAGGAAUUGACGGGGGCCCG